rnacentral:rRNA from 1 species
UACGAAGGGUGCAAACGUUGUUCGGAAUUACUGGGCGUAAAGCGCGUGUAGGCGGCCAUCUAAGUCGGGCGUGAAAUCCCACGGCUCAACCGUGGAAGUGCACUCGAAACUGGAUGGCUAGAGUCCUGGAGAGGAAGGUGGAAUGCUUGGUGUAGAGGUGAAAUUCGUAGAUAUCAAGCGGAACACCGGUGGCGAAGGCGGCCUUCUGGACAGUGACUGACGCUGAGACGCGAAAGCGUGGGGAGCAAACAGG